AUGGACGAAGAAGAGUUUAUAUACUUUAGUGCAGAGAUUUCUUGAAAUACAAUGUGAGGUUGAAUUUAUGCUGUUUCUCUCGUAGCCACCUGAGAGCGAAACGACCAAAAACUUCAAAAUGAUCCGUUUUCAAUUUCUGGAAGAAAGUUAUUGUUGUUAAAGUUGUCGAGCUUGGAGGAUAUACACCGCCACUUGUCUACGUACCUUUCAUUAGCCGAAGAAGCUCUCAGGCUACUAUAAAUAACAGAAUAAAGCAGCGGUAUUCCUGAAAAAUAAAAUUCAAGAAGGGGUAUUGGUCGAGGUUUGUCCAGUCUUAUAAGAAGUCAAUAAUAUUAUGAGGAUUGUGGCGAUUCCGGAUUGACCUACAAACUCCAUUUUUUGUGUACGAAUCAGCAGUGUCGUAGCUAUUACAGAAAAAAAUAAUUCAAGGUUGCUAAACUUUAACGUAGCAAGUAUUGAAACGGGCUGAAGAGUGAAGUCGAGUCAACUAAUAGACUGCUAAAAUAUAACGAGAACCAUUCCCCCUGGCCAGAAGCAUUUAUUAUUGAAUGUUAUUGGAGCGCCUGUACUUGUACCAAACUGGAUUAUUAUUUUGCUUUUGGUGGUGAUGGGCAGAUCAACACUGUGCAUUUAUUAUUGAAUUUUAUUGGAGCGCCUGUACUUGUACCAAACUGGAUUAUUAUUUUGCUUUUGGUGAUGGGCAGAUCAACACUGUGCAUUUAUUAUUGACUGUUAUUGGAGCUCCUGUACUUUUUCAAAUUGGAUUAUUAUUUGUUUUUGGUGAUGGGCAGAUCAACACUAUGGUUUUCAAGGAAAGAUGUCUUAUUUCCAAUUUUAAAGAAUCUUGCUGAAAUCUUAAUGUUUUUCCUUCAACUUUAUUCUGGUUCCUUAUUGUAUCUAAAAUAAAUUAAGAAUGCAAAAUCUGAC